AUCGAAGCCGACUAGGAUGUUAGGGACAGAAAGAUCUGAUUGCGUUGCGUGUUAAUGCCAAAAUCCCUGUGUCAGUGACACGUUUCACCAUCUCCCUAACUGUCUCCUGACAUAUUCACCAUUAAAAUUUGGAUCCCAAAGAAUAUCCGAUACCAUCUUGUUUGGUCCCUCUGUCAGCCUCUGAUCCCAAUCUUCUACCCAUUACCGUAAACCCCACUCCCUCUCAAACAUACUGUGGGUUUUUCUUUUGAGAUUCAACUGGAUCAGCUCUCUCUCCGGACAGCUUAUCCAAUAGCAAGUUGCUGAUCUGGACUUUCAUUUAAAGUUGAUUUCUUUUCAGGGGUAGUCUCAGUUGAGUGAAGAAAAAUUUAUUGUCAAUCAAGGAUAAUUGAUGGAGAAAAGGCAGAAAAAAUUUCUUACCGUAGCACCCUUCGAGUGUGCUUGGCGGGACGAUUUGAGGUUUAGGGAAGCUGGAAGGGGUUGUGUAGCAUUUGAUGCUUUUGCGCACAACGAUGUCACAAUUGUCUUUAGGGAGCAGGCAGGGAGUCAGCAUUACCAUUACAAAAGGGAUAAUAGUCCACACUACACUGUGAUUAUUGGUAGUCAUAGAAAUAAGCGAUUACAUAUCGAGGUUGAUGGGAAAACAGUAGUUGAUGUGGCCGGAGUUGAUCUCUACUGUUCAUCGACGUUUCAGAGCUAUUGGAUUAGCAUAUUUGAUGGGUUGAUUAGCAUUGGAAAGGGGAGAUAUCCUUUUCAGAAUCUUGUUUUUCAAUGGCUUGAUUCGAAUCCGAAUUGUAGUGUUCAGUAUGUUGGACUCAGUAGUUGGGAUAGACAUGUUGGGUAUCGGAAUGUUAAUGUUCUUCCACUCACGCAAAACCAUAUAUCUUUGUGGAAGCACGUAGAUUGUGGCGAAUACGAGGGGGUGGAUGAUGGGAAAGAAGAAUUGGAAGAAAAUCUUGAAGAUUAUGAAAAUUGGGGGCUUGAAAAAUUUCUCGAGAAUUGGGAACUCUCCGAUGUGUUUUUCAUUGUUGGAACAGAGCAAAGGGCUGUCCCGGCGCAUAAGGUCAUAUUGGCGGCAUCCGGGUUUCAUGAUUUUAGUUCUUCAGAUGAAGAUGUCAUCCAUCUCCAAGAUGUUAGCUAUUCAGUGCUCCACGCACUUCUUGAAUAUGUAUACACUGGUCACACUAUGAUUCCGGAGUCACAUCUCAGUUCUCUAAAAGCCCUGAGCUUGCGGUUUGAGGUGAUGACUUUGGUCAAGAGAUGUGAAGAAACGAUAGAGCGCUUUAAACUCAAUAAGAAGCUCUUUAACUCUGGUAAAAACGUGGAGAUAUCAUAUCAAAGCUCCUGGCUCCCAUGCAACACUGUUUUCCCGUACAGAUUACCCAUUGACGUGAAGAGGCUUAAUCAUUUUCGCUCAACUGGUGAAUACAGUGAUGUAGACAUUUAUAUUGAAGGUCAUGGUUUUGUUGCGCGGUCACAUAAGAUCAUCCUUGGUUUAUGGAGUUACCCUUUCACAAAGAUGUUCACAAAUGGAAUGAGUGAGAGUGCUUCCUCGAAGGCUUGCUUUAAAGAUGUCUGCUUUGAAGCAUUCUCAACUAUGCUGGACUUCAUGUAUGGUGGAGAAGUUUACAAAGAAGACUCGGUUCUCGUAGAUACCUUGCUACUUCAGCUUCUUCUCUUAGCGGAUCAGUUUGGGGUUACUCUUCUUCAUCAGGAGUGUUGCAAAACACUUUUAGAACAUCUAUCAGAGGAUUCUGUGUGCCCAGUUCUGCAAGUUGUUUCGUCCGUUCCUUCAUGUAAACUCAUUGAAGAAACCUGUGAAAGGAAAUUUUCCAUGCAUUUUGAUUACUGCACAACUGCGUGCUUUGAUUUUGUCAUGCUAGAGGAAGCAACCUUUGGCAACAUUCUCCAGCAUCCAGAUUUGACUGUAACGUGUGAAGAACGGGUUCUUAAUGCAAUCUUAAUUUAUUGCUCCCAAUCAAAGGAGUUAAAUGCAUGGGACAGAGUAGAUGAGAAGCUGCUGAAUUCAACGCCUGAGCUUAUUUUUGGUGAAAGGCUCAAUUCUCUCGACUUAUUUCUAAGUUUUGUACGCUUCCCCUUACUUCCUUAUGAAGUGCUUAAACUGCUGGAGAGGAGCAACCUUAGGAGACAUAUUACUACUUUCCGUCGGCUGGUGAAAGAGGCCAUUUCUUUUCUGGAAGUUGGAUUAACUGGUCCUGACAAAGAUCUAAAGCCAUUCUGUGUGGACUGUCCCAGGAAAACUCUGCGUGUAUGUCUGGCCAGGCAUCCUUGGCCUGUGGCUUGCGGGGCUGUAUUUUCACAAAAUUGUCAGAUUUCAACAUAGGAGAUCGAGUUUUCGGGAGCUCCAGUUUAUAUGUGAUGGAGACAGCAACGGACUGUUGUAUUUUGCGGGGACAUCAUAUGGGGAACACCAAUGGGUAAAUCCCGUUUUGUCCAAGAGGGUAAGCAUUACUGCAAGUAGUCCCGUUUCAAGAUACACCGACCCUAAGGUUUUGGUUUCAAGGACUUACCAGGGCACAUCUUUUGCCGGGCCUCGAGUCGAAGAUGGGAGAAACACUGCAUGGUGGAUGGUUGAUAUAGGCCCUGAUCAUCAGCUCAUGUGCAAUUAUUACACGCUGAGGCAGGACGGAUCUAGAGCUUUCGUAAGGUGUUGGAAUUUUCAGGGUUCUUUGGAUGGCAAGAAUUGGUUGAACUUGAGAGUACACGAGAAUGAUGAGACAAUAUGCAAACCUGGUCAAUUUGCAUCAUGGCCGAUUAUUGGUCCCAACGCUUUGCUUCCGUUCAGAUUCUUUAGAGUAGUCUUAACGGAGCCGACUACAGAUGUUACAAACCCGUGGAGCUUUUGCACUUGCUUCUUGGAGCUUUACGGUUACUUUCGUUAACUUUGUUGUGGAAUUGAAUGUUGGCUAACGUUCUUAUAAUUUAUUUAAGGACUCUGAAGUUGAAAAUAAAUUCAGUGUGACACUAAAGGUUUGUACAUAUUGGUAGUGUACUUCUACGGGCUCCAAGCACUAAUUCGUGUGCAAAUUACACCUAUAUUUUCAGGCAGUGAA